rnacentral:lncRNA from 1 species
CAGGUUCCAAGCAGUUUCACUCAGGGCCGCGAUCUCACCGCUCCUAACCCUGCCUCUCUGCUGCAAAUGGAGACCAGACACAAGCCUGAAGCCACCAGGACCUUCUGCCUGUUAGGGACUUGAGGGCUGAGGAGCUGAUGGAGGCAACUUGUUCGCUCCCUCAGAGACCAACCUAUCAGGAGGACUCCAAUGGGGCCAAAGGUCUCCCUGGGGGGCACUGGGGUGGUGUUGACAAGGCCUUGGGUUCUUUCCCCAGCACUGCAAAAAAUAAAACGCAAAAGUGAAUGGAAGCUGGGAUAAUGGCGCAAGCCUAUAAUCCCAGCAGCUCAGGAGGCUGAGGCUCAGCAACUUAAUGAGGCCCUAAGCAACUCAGUAAGACCCUAACUCUAAAUAAAAUUAAAAAGGGGCUGGGGAUGUGGGGAUGUGGCUCAGUGGUUAAGUGCCCUUAGGCUCAAUAACCUGGUACCAAAAAGAAGACUGAGACCAAGUGAGGGCAGAUCAAGUUCACCAGCUAGCGAGGGCCAGCGUGAGCCCAGGCUCGUGGCAUGGAGUCCUGCUCUCUGGUCACCGAGUCUGUGCUCCCUCCACCAGCGCUACCCUUUCCUGCUGUUCCACACUGUGGCCCUGGCAAAAGGCAGGGUCCCCCCCCCCUCCAGCAGAGGUCCAUUCAGGACUGUGAAGAUGAAGGCGUGGGACAGGGAAGGCGGGCCCCCUCCCUGGGCCUUCCAGCCCAGGCUUAUCUGUGGCUUCUCCUCCUCAAACCAGACCCUCACCCCAAUGCCACCACCCUCCCCUCUACCUUAGCAACCUGGCCUGCAGCCUGUGCUUGGCUCUGCUUAAGGCCCCUUUCCUUUUUGGGGCCUUCAAGGACCGGAAGGGGCAGGGAAAAGCCACCAGGCUGACCUUGAAGCUGCAAAACUCACCGCUAAAAGGAGCUGCUGGGAAAACAGCCCCGGUGAGCUUCCAGGACCCACUUCAGCUCCAUCUUCCAACUCUUUUUUUUGGGGGGGGGUUGGGGGAGUACUAGGGAUUGAACGUAGGACACUUUACCACUGAGCUACAUUCCCAGCACCACUGCCCCCCCCCCCCGGCUUUUUUUCUUUUGAGACAAGGUCUUGCUGAAUUGCUUAGAGCCUCGCUGAGUCUCUGAGGCCGGCCUUGCACAGUGGUGCACCUCAUGCUUUAAACGUAGUCUUUGCUGCUCUGCCAUUGCAACUGAUUUUCAAAAUGCACACGUUUCUUUCUCCUCCUCUCUCUCUCCUCCUCCCUAAUCUCAGGGGAAACAGAAUUUCCUUUCUUCCCCAUCCUAGGCAGAUUGGUCUUACUUGAGCACACACACACCAUAGCAAGGAAGUAGUCCAGACUUUGGGGAUGGCACCAGAAGAUCUCAGAAAUGACCAUCUCCCAAUUAACAAGUGGAUUCCAACUCCAAAAGAGAACGCGUGGAAUAUAGCCUUUGAAUCACCUCUUUAAAAGUCCCUUGUUCCUGCUGAUGGGCAGAAUCACAGCCUCUGGGGCAGGAGUCCCCUGUGUUUCUCCUUUGCUAGCAAAACAAUAAAUCU